GAUGAACGCUGGCGGCGUGCUUAACACAUGCAAGUCGAACGAAGCACUUUAUUUGAUUUCCUUCGGGACUGAUUAUUUUGUGACUGAGUGGCGGACGGGUGAGUAACGCGUGGGUAACCUGCCUUGUACAGGGGGAUAACAGUUGGAAACGGCUGCUAAUACCGCAUAAGCGCACGGCAUCGCAUGAUGCAGUGUGAAAAACUCCGGUGGUAUAAGAUGGACCCGCGUUGGAUUAGCUAGUUGGUGAGGUAACGGCCCACCAAGGCGACGAUCCAUAGCCGACCUGAGAGGGUGACCGGCCACAUUGGGACUGAGACACGGCCCAAACUCCUACGGGAGGCAGCAGUGGGGAAUAUUGCACAAUGGGCGAAAGCCUGAUGCAGCGACGCCGCGUGAGCGAAGAAGUAUUUCGGUAUGUAAAGCUCUAUCAGCAGGGAAGAUAAUGACGGUA
rnacentral:rRNA from 1 species